rnacentral:other from 1 species
AAAUCCCUGCUGUAUACGAUACUGUCGCCACUUUAUAAUCCAACACUUACUUUUCGGGAGAGCCAUUCUCCUCUGACCGAUUGCAGACCUCCCGGCCCAGCCGGACGAAGGGAGCAUGACCUCAGAGGGAGCUCACCCACCUGUCUUCGGACGGGUUUUAAAAGGCGAUGGAACGGUACGGCGGGGUAUUU